rnacentral:rRNA from 1 species
AACGUAGGUGGCGAGCGUUAUCCGGAUUUACUGGGCGUAAAGCGUGUGCAGGCGGCUUAUCAAGUGGUGUAUGAAAUAUCCAGGCUCAACCUGGAGGGGUUAUGCCAGACUGGUAGGCUAGAGUGCGAGAGAGGGGCGUGGAAUUCCGGGUGUAGCGGUGAAAUGCGCAGAUAUCGGGAAGAACACCCGUGGCGAAGGCGGCUCUCUGGAACGCAACUGACGCUGAGACGCGAAAGCGUGGGGAGCAAACAGG